UACGUAGGGUGCGAGCGUUAAUCGGAAUUACUGGGCGUAAAGCGUGCGCAGGCGGUUUUGUAAGCCAGAUGUGAAAUCCCCGGGCUUAACCUGGGAAUGGCAUUUGGGACUGCACGGCUAGAGUGUGUCAGAGGGGGGUAGAAUUCCACGUGUAGCAGUGAAAUGCGUAGAUAUGUGGAGGAAUACCGAUGGCGAAGGCAGCCCCCUGGGAUAACACUGACGCUCAUGCACGAAAGCGUGGGGAGCAAACAGG
rnacentral:rRNA from 1 species